GGCCGCCAUGUUUCCUGAACACAAAAUGGCGACACGUGGUUAGCAUUCGUCGCCAACGAGAAAUUGGGGUCGGCCCGAAAGCUCUAGAAUGCACCCCUCUUCCUCCCCGGGGCCUUCCACCUCCGCGAGUUUUAUGACUUAAAAAAGCCCACAGGCUGGUCUGAAGAGGAAGACAAACAUAAAGAUGAAGUGCUUAAUUCAAGGUCACACAAUGUCGGGGAUGGACCUCCAGAUUUCCUUACUGACCUGCAUUAUCUUGUGGAUACCUGAGUGAAUUCCACACCACCCAUUUUAUAGAUGAAACCACUGAGACAUGGAGCAAUUGACUGAGUAGUCACUGCCCCACCCCUGCCUGGAGCCUCACACAUGACUCGCCUCCUCUCAGUGACCACAGGUUGGUUGAGGGGUUUAACAAGGCUAAGAAGUACUUAUCCUGUAUUACAUGAAGGAAAUGAAAUAAAAAGACUGCAGCCCCACUCCCAGCUACUCAGUGAGGUGGUAGCUAGAGACGGAGUCUUGCUAUGUUGCCCAGGCUGGUCUUGAACUCCUCACCUCAAGCGAUCCUCCCGUCUUGGCCUCCCAAGUGUCAGGAUUACGGGCAUGUGCUAUCACACCCAACCUGAUACAUUGCCUUUAUAAAUUUUUUUUUCUUUAUUCUAAAAACCAGAAAAAACAAAACUGGAUACAUGUGCAGAACAUGCAGGUUUGUUACAUAGCUGUACGUGUGCCAUGGUGGUUUGCUGCACCUAUUGACCUAUCCUGUAAGUUCCCUCCCCUCACCCCCACCCCCCAACAGCCCU
rnacentral:lncRNA from 10 species